rnacentral:rRNA from 1 species
CAAUAGCGUAUAUUAAAGUUGUUGCGGUAAAAAAGCUCGUAGUUGGAUUUCUGUUGAGAGCGACCGGUCCAUACCAUGUAUGCGUAUCUGGCUUGCUCUCGGCAUCCUCUCGAUAGACGUUACUGCGCUUGAUUGCGUGGUGCGGAUCUCGGGACUUUUACUUUGAGGUAAUUAGAGUGUUCACGGCAGGCUUUCGCCAGAAUACAUUAGCAUGGAAUAAUACUAUAGGAUCUUGGUUCUAUUUUGUUGGUUUCUAGAAUUGAGAUAAUGAUUAAUAGGGACAAUUGGGGGCAUUCGUAUCAACACGUCAGAGGUGGAAUUCUUGGAUUGUGUUGCGACGAACUACUGCGAAAGCAUUUGCCAAGGAUGUUUUCAUUGA